GACGAACCGUGCGAACGUUAUUCGGAAUCAUUGGGCUUAAAGGGCGCGUAGGCGGGUUGGCGCGUCGGCAGCUGAAAUCCCCCGGCUCAACCGGGGAACGGGCGCCGAUACGGCCGGUCCUGGAGGCGAGGAGGGGGACCCGGAACGUCCGGUGGAGCGGUGAAAUGCGUUGAGAUCGGACGGAACACCGACGGCGAAAGCAGGGUCCUGGACUCGUACUGACGCUGAGGCGCGAAAGCCAGGGGAGCGAACGGG
rnacentral:rRNA from 1 species